AUUGAACGCUGGCGGCAGGCCUAACACAUGCAAGUCGAGCGGAUGAAGGGAGCUUGCUCCUGGAUUCAGCGGCGGACGGGUGAGUAAUGCCUAGGAAUCUGCCUGGUAGUGGGGAUAACGCCCGGAAACGGGCGCUAAUACCGCAUACGUCCUGAGGGAGAAAGUGGGGGAUCUUCGGACCUCACGCUAUCAGAUGAGCCUAGGUCGGAUUAGCUAGUUGGUGGGGUAAAGGCCUACCAAGGCGACGAUCCGUAACUGGUCUGAGAGGAUGAUCAGUCACACUGGAACUGAGACACGGUCCAGACUCCUACGGGAGGCAGCAGUGGGGAAUAUUGGACAAUGGGCGAAAGCCUGAUCCAGCCAUGCCGCGUGUGUGAAGAAGGUCUUCGGAUUUUAAAGCACUUUAAGUUGGGAGGAAGGGCAGUAAGUUAAUACCUUGCUGUUUUGACGUUACCAACAGAAUAAGCACCGGCUAACUUCGUG
rnacentral:rRNA from 1 species